rnacentral:lncRNA from 1 species
UGGUCAUAGAUUUUUUGAAGUCAGUCUUAUGUAGGACUUCUCCUUUUCAAUUAAGGUCGAUAGAUUCUAUUUAGAUGCACCUACUCCAAACAGCGAACCUGAACCUACAAUAGCCAAUAUACACAGUAAGGAUCCAAAUAGCUAGGGACCAAAAGAAUAUGUAGUCAAAUUAAGUAGCCUCACUGUGAAUAACCAACACACC